rnacentral:lncRNA from 1 species
AGACCCAGCCAGGCAAGCGCGGCCACAUAGGCAAGCGCGGCCACAUAGGCUAGACGCACUAUCUUCUCCUCUACCCCGCGCCGCCCUCCACCUCGGAGCGGGGACGUACGGUGGUGGCGGUGACACAAUGCGAGUGAGUGGAGCCUUUGGAAGGAAUUGGGCCAUGAGAAGAGCCCUCAUGAAUGGGAUUAGUUCCCUUAUAAGAAGAGACACCAAGGAAGUGAUCUUUCUCUGCCCUCUGCUAUGUGAAGACAAGGUAAGAAGACAGCUAUGAACCAAGAAGCAGGCCCUUACCAGACACCAAAUCUGCUGGUGCAUUGAUCUUGGACUUCUCAGCCUCCAGGACUGUGAGAAAUAAAUGUUUAUUGUUGAAGCCACCCAGUCUACAGUAAUUUGUUAUAGCAGCUGAAAUUGACUAAGACAAUUUAAAAAAAUUAAUCUCAUUGACUAUCAAUUUGGAUUCUGGAGCAUACCUGGAUUCAGGUAUACAUUGGAUUUGGGCAUAUCUGAACUGGAAUAUGGUCUCUAUCAUUCUAACUCCUUUAACUAAGUUAAAGUCUGUUAAGUGCCAAACCUCAGUAUUCUCAUCUGUAAAAUGAAGGUAGUGAUAGUAUCAAACUGAUAGUGGUAGGUUGUGGUGGUGCACAAAAGGGCCUAGUCCAGCACUGGACACAUGGUGAUGAUGAUGAAAGAUAAUGAUACUGAUAAAUAAGAAGACAAUACUAAUAUACAUAAUUCCAAAAGAAUUUUUCUUAAUACGUGAUCCUCUUCACUCCCCGUCUCCCAUCCCCAUUAAAUUACCUGGAAUUUUUUAGUCCAUCUUUCAGUUUGUCAAGCAACGAAUAACACUAAAGGUAGUCUUUUUUAUUAUCGUGUAAUUAUGGAAUUUUUUAUUAUUUUGCAUUUUAAAACUUUGUUUUGAAUUUCCAAAACUUUUUAUUUAAUAUCUAAAAUGUCUUUCUACUAAAAUUUUGCUCUCACCGUCUGAGACUCAAAGCAGAAAACCCAGCCAAGACCAUCUCAAAUUCUGACCUACAGAACUGGGAGUUAAUAAUUGGUGUUGUUUUAAACUGCUGAGUCUGUGGUAGUUUGCUAUGAAGACUAAUAUAGUUGGUUACUAUUGUUAUUCUAAUUUCAGGGAGAAGGAAUAAGUCAUGGAGCGGUUAGGUUAAUUGUCCAUCCUCUCAAGUUAGUAAGUGUUGGAGCCGAUAAGUGAAUCUAAACAGCGUGAAUCUAAAGCCCACUGCAUACUUCUGCCAACAAUUAUGAAGGGUCGACUGUAUGCUAAGCUCUAAUGCAUUUUUACAUAUAUUGCUUUACUAAAUAGGUUACCUCAACAACCUUUAUGAGGUAAAUAUUAUUAUUAUUUGCAUUUGACUACUGAGGAAACCAAGAAUCAAAACCUUUAAGUACAUUGCCCAGGAUCAAGGUGGCGGUGAGGAAUGGAGCCAAGAGCUAGUAUCAGAGCCCUGCUCUGGUUCCAGUAGUGAUUUUCACAGCCAUUGUGUUAAAAUGCCUAUUUAGACAGUGGUCUAACUUACUUUAUUUAUUGACAUUUUCAAUUUCAAUGGUUAUAAUUAUAAUUGUCAUUUUUUAGUACAGUUUGCAUUUCUCCCUGAUCUUCUUGAUGCAUCAUUUUAGAAUAUACAUUGCUGAAAUGUAGAAUUUCAAGCACAUUUUAAAUUCUCUACAAUAUUUGCAUAACUCAUAACACUUUUCUUCAUUGCUCCCACAAGCACCAAGAUAAUUCUUUCCUCCAACCCUCUGCUCAUGCUGUUAUCCCCACCUGAAAUGCCCUCUUACAAAUCCUACUAGCUGAAUUACAGUUUCCAUUUAAGACCUCCCCGAAUUAUUCUAGCACCAGAGAACCAUCAUUUCUUAGAAUUAACAGUGCUUUUAAUUUUUUUUCUAGUUGUUUCACUUGUGUUAAUCUUAUCUUUCCAAAGAAUUAUAUGGUUCUUACCAUUUAGAUAACUGCAUGUCUUAGACAUAGCUGAGUGUUAUGUUUUAAAUUUCUUCAGUCUUUCCACUGUGAACACUAAGGAAAAUUAAUUUUUAAGACUACAGAUUUGAUACCAAAUCCCUACUUCCUAAUAUUUCACUGCCUGAUUCCCUAAUGGAUGCUCUUUCCAGAAAAUGUGUAGGGUCAUUAAGCAAGAGUGUACCUUUGCUUUCAGAAUUUGACCCUGGUAGGAGAAAUUUCUGGUGCUUCUAAUUCUUUCCCUCCAGUUUCCCAGUCAAACUCAUUUCAGUGACUUGGUUUUUAGCUUCCUGAAAUAUGUUUGAAUAAUUAAUAUAUACACACAAUAAAAGUUCAAAGGUACAAAAGAGUGUGCAGGAAAAUAAAAGUUUUCCUCCUAAUGACAUUCCCUUCUUACACAAGGUUAUUCCCUCAGGGCCUACUGCUGAUAUCUAGUAGCUAUGCUUGUGUAUCCUUCUAAAGAUACACAAACACACCCCCCUAUAUAUGUGUGUUUAUAUGUACUUGUGCAUACAUGUGUGUAUAUAUAGUGUGUAUAUGUGUACACACAUACUUUUUACAAAAGUUACUAAAUUAUACAAUCAUGGAUCUUGCUUUUCUUCACAAACGUUCUGUGUUUUGAAAUUGUAUCAAGGACUGCAUAGUAUCUGUAUAUGUAAAUCCUUUUUGAUAGACAUUUAAGUUGCUUCCAAUCUUUUGCUAUUGCAAGCAAUAUUACAUGAAUACACAUUUUGCACAUGUGUGCAAGAUAAACAUAUUAGAAUAGAUUUGUUGAAGUAACAUUGUUGGUGGGGGGAAUGUUCAUAUAAAAUUGUGAUAGAUAUUACCAAUUUGCCAUUCAUAAGGUAUCUAUGAGUUCACCCUUCCACCUGUACUGUAUCAGACAGCUUGUCUCUCUUUAGUGUGGCUGAUAUGAUUCUUAACAGUCUUUGAAAGACAAAAAAAGGUAUCUCAUGGUUUUGAACACCUAUUAUUUUUACUGGGUUUGAGCAACUUUUCGCAUAUUUAAAAAUAAUUAUUUUCUUUAUGUGAACUGGCAUUUCAUGUAUUUUGCUUUUAUUUCUACUGAUUUGCUAACCUUUUUAUUGAUUGGUAGGAGAUCUGUAUAAGGAAAUUCAUCCAUUUGGGGUCACAUUAAUGUCAAAAAAUUUAUCCAGCUGGUUCUUGUCCUUUAACCUAGUUUACACCUAUUUGUUUGAUUUUAUUGUGCUAAAAUUGCUAAAAUAUUUUAUAUUUGGGUGAUGAAAUUUAUCCACCUUUGCUUUAAGAUUUCUAGGUUUUGAUAUUUGCUAAGAUAGGCUUUCAGUAUUCUGAAUUUAUAAACAUAUCUUACAGUGUCUUAUAGUAGUUUUAUGAAUAUUUCAUGUGUGUUUUUACAAUUCUUACCAAAUUAAAAUUUGAGAGAUAGUAUUUGUUACUAUCUUACUUGUUCUCUCAAAAACUACCAGUAAUAACAAAACCAUAUAUUGAAUAAAUCCAUAUAUUUCAAAUUAAUAUGACAUGCCAACUCACUCACUUAGUCACUAUAUAUUUGGCUCUACUGCUUGCUUUUAUAGACUGUUCCAUUGGGUUAUCUAUUCGUGUGCCAGUACUACAUGCCUAAUUGUUGUUUUAAUUUUUUUUUAAUAACUACUAGGGUAAACAUCAUCUACUUCUUUUUUAAAAAAUACUCCCUGACUAAUGUACAUUUAUUUUUUUUCCUACAUGAACUUUAGAGUGAGCUUGUCUAGUUGAAAAAAACAUAAUAAAUAUAUUUAUAGUAUUAGUAUACCUAUGUAUAUAUCCAAUUUUCUUCUGUGUUUCUCUUGUUAAGUUUCUAUUUAGAUAUUUUAUAUUUUUAUAUGCCUACCUAAAUGCAAAUUUCUUCAUUAUAUUUUGUAACUGGCUCUUCUACAUUUAUAGGAAGGCUAUCUUUGUGUGUGUGUGUGUGUGUGUGUGUGUGUGUAUGUGUGUCUAUAUAUGUGCACUAAUGUUAAACCCAGUUACUUUAUAAAUUGUAAAUUGUCUUUUAUAAUUUACAUUAUUAGCUUUUUCGUUUAUUAUUUUGGGUUUUCUAGACAUAAAAUCAUCACAUCUGAAAAGAACUUUAGUUUUACCUCCUUACCUCCUCUUCGAAUUUUCAUGCUUAUUUUUUCCAUCAAAUUGUUAUAACUGGUAUUAUGUAAUAGAUUUUAAAUAAAUGGACACACUUGGACUAUUUUUCACUCUAAUGGGACCACUCUAAUGACCUCCAAGGCACAGCACAAGGACUCUUGUCUCCCAUUUCCAGUGCAUGCACUACAGCCAUUUUCUCUAUACCAGCAUUUGCUCAGAAAAAAAAAAAAAGAGUAAGACAUUAACAUCAGUGUAGGAAGGAAAUAAGUGUCCAUGAAUAUGCAGGAUAGGAUAAAGGAGGGAAAUUAUCUUUUCUCUACAGUAAAUAAAAAGAGGCUUAUCAAGAAUUGGUAGAAUUGGAUGUCUUAAGCUUUGACGUUGCAUUUGACAGAAAAUUGGAACUCAUUGUCUUUUGAUUUAAAAGAAAGGGAUGAUAAAAUCUUCCACACCCACCAUAGCAGGAGUUAUGUGGUUAUCUAGGGAAAAACGUAUUAUAAUAGGCCAAAGGACCGUCUUAGACUAUUUCCCCUUUUAUCUAGUUUUCAUUGCCAUAUUCUUCUCUUUUCCUCCGUUUAUCACAUUGCUGAAAAUUGAGUCAGAGAUUUAUUUAUUUAAGAUAUAAAAGAUACCUGAUACAUCAAGCAUAGUAAUUGGAC